CAGAAAAUAAUUUAAUGUAAAAUAUAAGCUUUGGAUGCUUAAAAUGGUAUUUAUCUUUUCUGA
rnacentral:tRNA from 1 species